CUCCUGGGGAUUUUAUACAGUGUUCCCUCUAGGGUUGUGUAACCAAAACAAAUUUCCAAAUCGCUUUACAAGCAGCACACAUCAAUGUUCACUUGAAGAUUGGGAAGUGUCGGUUUUUAAUUAAAAAGAAUUUAACAAGAAGCAGAAAUGUGAUCUAGCUCCUGUCCUCAACUCCGCCCUCCACGUCUUAGCAUGUUAACAUACAUAUAACCCACGCCAUUGCUCUGCAUACGCUUUAUAUUUGGAGAAUAAUUAUGAAAAUCAGAUUAUACGUGGCUGCCCCUAUAAAAGAAAACCAUUUGAUUUUGCGUUUGAAGUGUGGCUUCCAAAGGGGUCAGUUCCUUAUAAGCUUAAUGAAGGACAAGGAACAACCAUUUCACAAGGGGCACGCCAUAUUCCUGGCCGAGUACUGAGCCCCACACUGCGAGCUCUCGAUCAACCUCAAUUACACGUAUUCCUGCCCGUCUUGCUGUCUUUCCUGUAAGUGGACAGGCACACUGGGCAAUGCACACAGAUAUAAUCUGUCCUAACAACAAAGAGCCUUAAAAGUAAUGAGACAGGAGAAUGGAUAAACUGAUUGGUAUGUUCAUACGACGGAAUACUACUGAGCAAUCAAAAAGAAUGACCGAGUGGAUGCAUCUCAAAAAUGUCAUGUUAAAAGGCCAGAGUACACACUGGGUGCAUCCACAUGUUUGAAGUUCAAGAACAGGUGAGCUCUUUGCUAUGUUGAGAGUGGUUCCCCUCAGCAGGAGAGGGUCUUGCCUGGGUACAGGCUCUAGGAAGCGCCGGGUGAUGCAAAUAUUCCAUGUGUUGGUCUGGGUGGUAGUCACACGGGUGUAGACCUGUCUGCCGAGGAUUUGCGCAUUUCCCUGUAUAUCCGUUAUACCUCCAUAAAGUCUUGCGGAGAAGAAAGUAAAUAAAUGGUACCUCUCGGCAGGAUAAUUUGAGUUCUUGACCUUGCCUGCUUUGGGGUUCCGUUCCUUAUCAACGUACGUCUUAUGGCCCCGCGACUCUGCAAGCACUUCAAGAGGAUUUUGAAGCUGCAUGCUUUCUCCAAUUUCCCUUUCAUGUAACUAAAAAGAAGUGAUGUCUUUCAAAAAAAAACAGCCGUUAGCUCUUCGGGAGAGGAAAGGGAACUUAUCCGAGGGCGUGCAGAGCCUGUGAAAUGUUUUCUGGUGUUGCUCAUUUUCAAACCUCCGAGCAAGUGUGUGCGAGUCAGAAGUGUGUCGAAAAGCGAGGGAAAGAAUUAAUUCAGUGAUGGAGAAAGUGCCGUAUUCCACCCCCCCCCCCCCAGUUUAUGCUUUGGGUGUGAUCUUACCACGCAUUGGGCUGGCAUUUCCAAACACGCUGUGCUCAUCACCUCUAAAGUCGUCCUGUGGACGGUGCUGUUUAAUUAGUUUGCUCGUGGAGCGAUCUGGCAGGAGAGUGACGUGUGGUUUUCGCUGUAAACGCUGGGAGCGUGAAAAGAUGACCACACUUGCCUGGAAUUUAACAACUGUGGUGGUAGCGCUUUCUCCCACACCACAUUCGAGCGAAACAUGAAUCACGGACGGCCGUGAUCAGCCGCCUCUUACUCGGUGAUUUUGGAAACAUCAGCAAACUUUGAGACAAGGGAAGCUGGAUUUCCAUUUAUUAGCAACUCCUCUGAGUUGUCAGUUUGCAUAGUAGGCAACUUAAACUAUAUAUGCUCUUUGUUCCUGAAAUUGUUUUAUGGAUGAGGAACGGGUGAGAGGUUGGCACCAAGUUAUUGAUUCCUUCUGUGGCGGAGAACUGGUGAAGACCUCUAAAAGAUGAUGCCCCCAAAACUUGCCCCAAGCUUUUAGAGAGCAAGCUUCUUGAAAAAUGCCAUUAUUUUUUAUAUGGCUGGGAGAACAGAGGCCAGGCCUGUUAGACAUUCACACCUUGGUCUGAAUUUCUUUCACUAUUAAUUUGCCAUAUAUAUGUAUCACCUGAGUGCACAAUAAAAGGCUUUGCUUUUCUCCUCCCGCCUAACUUGGGAGCAGUGAGGGGAUGAGAGCCGUGCUUUGGGUGGCGGGGCGGACGAUGAAGGCUGGGGUACUUUGGCGCAGUGAGCCUUCCCCAGGCUGCUGGAUGGAGCAGACGCGGCCACCGCAGUCCGUCGUGAGAGCAUCCCUGGAGCCGGGAAAGACGGUGGUGUCGGGCGGGCUCCGUGAGAGGCCGGUCGGUGGAUAUGUUCGACUUUGCGGGCCAUACAGCCUGUCACAACUCCUCAGCUUUCCUGUUGUAGCCUGAAAGCAGCCACAGACAAUACAUCCGCAGGCCUUACAAAGACAGGCGUUGGGCCAGAUUUGGGAGCAGACUGUGCGAAAACUGAAUUUCGCCUUACGGCACGUUUCUGCCAGAAAGCCCUAGCAGCGGUAACGACGACAGGACCACUCAAAAUCGGUGUUUAGAAGCUGACCGGGAUUCCGAUCCUGUUGUUUCAAACUCCAAGGAAGUCCAUUUGGAGGCUGUCACGUUCCUGGCGUCCCCAAGCAUUAGGCCAGUGCAGACGCCACCAUGCUAUCUGCGGAGGACCCUGCAGCCUGAAAUCAUGGGCUUUGGAUGAUGAGAGAUCAGCGGUUCUCGGCGUGUGGUCCACGGGCCCCUGGCGGUCCCUGAGACGUUCAGGGUUUGUGAGGUCAAAAGGGUUUUUGUGCGACCAAGAUGUUACUGAGUGAGUCGGCUCACGGUGACAUCGGCGCUCCUGGUGCUAAUGCUGUAGUAAAGCGCGGGUGGCCGAGCAGCGCGCCUCCUAGCGGUCACUGUGCCCAUGCGUGCCCAGCAAAGCGCAGAUGCUAGGCUCGCUGAACAGUGGCCUCAGUGAAGCAGAAAGGACCAAUUCCCUUAGAGCUCAGACCCUUUAACGUUCUGCGCGACGACACGGGAGCGCGCAGGGAGCUUGCACACGGAGGCACGUCUGCUCCGGGAACACACGACGUGGCUGGGGCUCGGGCAGAACCACGCUCUCUUCGUGGAGCUUCCAUCAUUUUGACUUCCAGGAGCGACUGACCAACGGGUGAUUUGGACGGACCUGGGUAUUUGGUAGACAUUUCCUUGAAAAUGAAUGAGGUGGGCUUCCAGGAAAGCAACUGACAGUUAUUUGCUGUCUAUGAUAAAAUGUGAGCUUCCAUGCGAAAACUAGCAUUUGGGGAAACUUGUAUCCACCACCACGGGCUUGGCAGCUUCACAAUACUUCAGGGUUUUUUUGUUUUGUUUUGUUUUGUUUUUUGAGGAAAUCAGUGGUGACAUUAAUAAAUUAUAAAUCGUUAUUUCACACGAUCAUGACAUGGGUCAGUAUUUGGAAGAUUUGCAUAACUUGGUGAACCAGUAUUUCCCAAAGGAGCAGGGUAUGACGUUACAAAAUCAUGCCUGGGUAAAAAAGAUGCAGUCACA